UACGAAGGGUGCAAGCGUUACUCGGAAUUACUGGGCGUAAAGCGUGCGUAGGUGGUGAGUUAAGUCUGUCGUGAAACGCCCCGGGCUCAACCUGGGAAUGGCGAUGGAUACUGGCUCGCUAGAGUGCGGUAGAGGAGAGUGGAAGUUCCCGGUGUAGCAGUGAAAUGCGUAGAGAAUCGGGAGGAACAUCAGUUGCGAAGGCGGCUCUCUGGACCAGCGACUCGACACUGAGGCACGAAAGCGUGGGGAGCAAACAGG
rnacentral:rRNA from 1 species